GGCGUUGAUUUCGAGCUCUCAAAUUUUGAGGGGAGGUAACCACUGCGCAUACAGCGUCCGGUGCGUACCGGUAUUCCCUAAAUCAGGUCGCGAGCGGAGCAUUUUAUUGUUCGUCUGCAGCAGAUAUAAAGAGAAGAACGAUACUGUUGAGAGCUCCUGGUCUUGAUUCAGAAAACGUCAUGGAUCACAUUAUUUUUGCCACAGAUUCUAGAGGGGCAAAGUUAAAACACUUUUUAAUGUCCAACACAACACUUACUCUUUACACUGUACAUACAAUCAUAAUUCCGGGAGCAAAAAUAGAAACAUUAACACAAGCUUUUGACAACAAAUUAAGAAAAAUAUUCUCAUCAUCAACAUCAGUUCACCAUGUAUUUGUCAUUGUUGCUGCAGGCAUAUGCAAUUUAACUGAAAAAAUUCACCAUGCGAAUGGUACAGAAAUCGUCUACAUUUCUGAUCUUGCUAAAACAUCACACAUUUUUGAAGUCAUAAAUUCUUUUUAUAAAACAAACAACAGCAGUACAGUUUCAUGCAAAUUAGUUCAUAUUCCACCUGUUUCAUUGAUUUCCUCAUCACAGUUUAAUAUGUCCAAAAGAACACUGACUAAAUCAAUGUAUACUUAUGAUCAAAUUUCACAACAACAAAUUGACUUGGAAAAUGACAUCAAUGAAAUAAAUUCACUUAUAAGCUCACUAAAUGAACGCUUUUCAAAACAUUCAGUACGUUGGGAUAGAGACCUUUUAAUUUGCAAAACUAAAAAACGAGGCAAAAAUGGCCAGAAUAAGCACAAAAUAAAGAAAUUUUCAUACAGUUUGUUUUACGAUGGUGUACAUCCACAGUCUAGCUUAGCUACUAAAUGGUACACAUACAUGUGUGAA